rnacentral:rRNA from 1 species
UACGUAGGGUGCGAGCGUUGUCCGGAAUUAUUGGGCGUAAAGAGCUCGUAGGCGGUGUGUCACGUCGUUCGUGAAAACCUGCAGCUUAACUGUGGGCGUGCGGUCGAUACGGGCAUCACUGGAGUUCGGCAGGGGAGACUGGAAUUCCCGGUGUAGUGGUGGAAUGCGUAGAUAUCGGGAGGAACACCAGUGGCGAAGGCGGUUGCCUGGAGCUUUGCUGACGCUGAGGCGCGAAAGCGUGGGGAGCGAGCCGG